AUCACUCUCAAAGGGUCUGUUGUUUGUAUUGUACUUAUAUUGCCUAAUGAACCCCUCUUGACUUCCUGAACAUACAAGCCAGAAGGAAGAUAUGAACUGAAUGGGACUGGGAAGAAAGGGCAUUUGGAGAGAGAGCCACAUCACCACACCUGUUAUCCCCAAAGGGUAACUUACCAGCAAAGGAGGUAGGAAGCUUCCUCUUUAGUCUCUUAGACUAUGAACAGACAUCACAUUUGUUCCUGGACAAGCUGUACAUAUGUUUGUCAUAGAACAGAAAUAUCUCAGGAUUGGUGUGUACGUGCAUCACCCUUCUAAUGAGGGUUUAGUGAGCUUGAAUACAUUGCUUCUUUUAUUCCAUUGAUUCAAUGAUGCAAUCGAGGUAUAACUAUUCAGACACACUUUGUGAUGUCCUGGGAUAAACUGAUAGAACUUUUUAUCCCAUGAACCUUUUUAGGAUUUAUCCGAGGUUAAUGGUAAUGCAUGUUUGAACAACUGUACUUUUGUCCUGGGAUAAAAUGGCUUAAUCUGGGCCAAUGUAACAUCUGUUUUGGAUUUUCAAAGCAUCUGGGUAAAAGAUUCUUACUGGAAGCAUCUACGCAUACAUUUGAUCUGGAAUCAGUUUACUUGCAAGUAAACUACCUGUGAGUAAAUUCUUCUGGGCAGGCAU